AUAGUUUUGAUUUUAUGGGUUUCGUAUUGCAAGUACACACUUGGUUUUUUGCUUCAAAAAUAGAUCGAAGUAAGAAAAUAACUAUAAACUUUUGUGUAUCAAGCAGUUUUUGAAAAUUUUUAAAUAUAAUAUAUUUGAGAGCACGGUAUCUUACAUAUUGAAAUUGUUUCACAAUAUUUUCGCUUCAGACCAAAAUAAAAGGUCCCAAAGCCUCUCAUCGUCCAUUCCUAAGACAAACGAGUAAAUACCAUAAAGUACACCAUUUGACGAAUGUUUUAUGAUGCUACAACAACAGCAAAAAAAAUGUUUGCCUAUAGAAAGUUAUGAUGAGGCAUAAAGAAUACGCGGCUUACCUGAAAAGGCACACUUCUUUCUGAGAACACAUUUAUAAUGAAACUAACUGACCAACAUGCAGAGAAGUCGAUUAGAAGAGUACCACAGCAUUGCAAAUCGUACUGUGUCACAAAUAUGUACGAGUAACUACGACUUAGAUAAAAAUAAAAAACAAAAACUAGUUGCAAGUAUUAAAUUUUAAA